CCUACGGGGGGCUGCAGUGGGGAAUAUUGGACAAUGGGGGGAACCCUGAUCCAGCCAUGCCGCGUGUGUGAAGAAGGCCCUCGGGUUGUAAAGCACUUUCAGUGAGGAAGAACGCCUGGUGGUUAAUACCCAUCAGGAAAGACAUCACUCACAGAAGAAGCACCGGCUAACUCCGUGCCAGCAGCCGCGGUAAUACGGAGGGUGCGAGCGUUAAUCGGAAUUACUGGGCGUAAAGCGCGCGUAGGUGGCUUGAUAAGCCGGUUGUGAAAGCCCGGGGCUCAACCUGGGAACGGCAUCCGGAACUGUCAAGCUAGAGUGCAGGAGAGGAAGGUAGAAUUCCCGGUGUAGCGGUGAAAUGCGUAGAGAUCGGGAGGAAUACCAGUGGCGAAGGCGGCCUUCUGGACUGACACUGACACUGAGGUGCGAAAGCGUGGGUAGCAAACAGGAUUAGAUACCCGGGUAGUC
rnacentral:rRNA from 1 species